rnacentral:rRNA from 1 species
UCUGGUCCUUUUGUGCCCGCAGCCGCGGUAAUACGUAGGGGGCUAGCGUUAUCCGGAAUUCCUGGGCGUAAAGGGUGCGUAGGUGGUUUCUUAAGUCAGAGGUGAAAGGCUACGGCUCAACCGUAGUAAGCCUUUGAAACUGGGAAACUUGAGUGCAGGAGAGGAGAGUGGAAUUCCUAGUGUAGCGGUGAAAUGCGUAGAUAUUAGGAGGAACACCAGUUGCGAAGGCGGCUCUCUGGACUGUAACUGACACUGAGGCACGAAAGCGUGGGGAGCAAACAGG